rnacentral:rRNA from 1 species
AUUGAACGCUGGCGGAAUGCUUUACACAUGCAAGUCGAACGGUAGAGGGGGCAACCCCUCGAGAGUGGCGAACGGGUGAGUAAUAUAUCGGAACGUGCCCAGUCGUGGGGGAUAACGUAGCGAAAGUUACGCUAAUACCGCAUACGAUCUAAGGAUGAAAGCGGGGGAUCGCAAGACCUCGCGCGAUUGGAGCGGCCGAUAUCAGAUUAGGUAGUUGGUGGGGUAAAGGCUCACCAAGCCAACGAUCUGUAGCUGGUCUGAGAGGACGACCAGCCACACUGGAACUGAGACACGGUCCAGACUACUAAGGGAGGCAGCAGUGGGGAAUUUUGGACAAUGGACGCAAGUCUGAUCCAGCCAUUCCGCGUGCAGGAUGAAGGCCCUCGGGUUGUAAACUGCUUUUGUACGGAACGAAAAGGUCUCUCUUAAUACGGGGGGCUCAUGACGGUACCGUAAGAAUAAGCACCGGCUAACUACGUGCCAGCCGCCGCAGUAA